AUGUGCUUAUGUCAUUGUGUUUGUUGAACUGUACAGCAUAACAACAGUGGAGUGACUUGCAGGUGCCUCAUGUGGAUUUUAUGGCUUAAGCCAAGAGGAGAAAGAAAGGGCUCUGCAUAUGAAAAGAUACCAACAUUAUUGUUUCCAUGAAAUUGGUUGGAAGAAAAGAAGAAGAUCCAGAGAAGAUCUUAGUAAUAAGAUAGUUUUUAGGAAAAUAGAUAUUUAGUUUUAGGUCAUUUCUUCUAAUUUCAGAUAUGGAGGGCUUGUCUUUAGUUUUUGUUUUGACUUUGUGAAACUUGCUAACUAUGGAUGAAACUGUGUAAUAUUGAUGAAACUAUGUAUAUGUAUGGAUGAAACUUGCUACUA